UGUGUGUGUGUGUGUGUUCGGCAACGGCUGAGGAAAUAUUCUGGCUGCAUAAAGUACCGAGGAAAGCAAGCGCGAGCCAAUGAUGGAGGUCCGAGAAUG